ensembl:snRNA U4 U4 spliceosomal RNA
AGCUUUGUUCAGUGGCAGUAUUGCAGCCAAUGAGGUUUACCUGAGGCGCCAUUAUUGCUGAUUGAAAACUUUUCCCAAUACCCAACCGUAAUGACUUGAAGUAUCAAGGUG